UACGUAGGAUGCAAGCGUUGUCCGGAAUUAUUGGGCGUAAAGAGCGCGCAGGCGGUAUGACAAGUCAGAUGUGAAAGAGGCCGGCUUAACCGGCAAGGGUCAUUUGAAACUGUCAGACUAGAGUGCAGCAGAGGAUAGUGGAAUUCCCGGUGUAGUGGUGAAAUGCGUAGAUAUCGGGAGGAACACCAGUGGCGAAGGCGACUAUCUGGCUGCGAACAUGAGCUGAGGCGCGAAGGCUAGGGUAGCAAACAGG
rnacentral:rRNA from 1 species